rnacentral:rRNA from 1 species
CACGUAGUUAGCCGUGGCUUUCUGAUUAGGUACCGUCAAGACGUGCACAGUUACUUACACAUUUGUUCUUCCCUAAUAGCAGAGUUUUACGAUCCGAAGACCUUCAUCACUCACGCGGCGUUGCUCCGUCAGGCUUUCGCCCAUUGCGGAAGAUUCCCUACUGCUGCCUCCCGUAGGAGUCUGGACCGUGUCUCAGUUCCAGUGUGGCCGAUCACCCUCUCAGGUCGGCUACGUAUCGUUGCCUUGGUAAGCCAUUACCCCACCAACUAGCUAAUACGGCGCGGGUCCAUCUAUAAGUGAUAGUAAAACCAUCUUUCACUUUAGAACCAUGCGGUUUCUAAAUAUUAUCCGGCAUUAGCCCCGGUUUCCCGGAGUUAUUCCAGUCUUAUAGGUAGGUUACCCACGUGUUACUCACCCGUCCGCCGCUAACGUCAAAGGAGCAAGCUCCUUAUCUGUUCGCUCGACUUGCAUGUAUUAGGCACGCCGCAGCGUUCAUCCUGACGCCAGGAUCAAACUCUCG